rnacentral:lncRNA from 1 species
AAUGAUCAAACAAUUUUCUGUUUGUUACAUUACAUGCAACGAAAGAAAAAUAUGGUUAAAAUUCUUAAAUUUGUUUAUGCGUUGACCAUCUUUCUUUCCUUAAUUCUCCUUGUUACCAGCGAAGGCAAGCCUUUUUAACACCCAUUUCAUUUCUUCUCUUUUUUUUUAUUCAAGAUUUCUUCUUCUUUAUUAUAUACAAAAUAAUCUUUCAACACCUUUUAGUAACAUUCUAUUUUUUUACAUGAACAACAGUCUUUACCUCACUUAAAGACAUGUACGGUUUUCAUUGUACAUGCAUUGCUGUCCAUGAUUGUCCAAAGUAUAGAUGCAACAAUCCUUUUGUUUUGCGAUGCAUUUGGAAUAAGUGCUAUUGCAUGUAAACAUAAUAACUAAGUUGAAAAAUAAUUUGAUGUAAUUUCUAUAUGUAUAAUUUUAUUUCAAAAAUAAUUUGAUGUAAUUUC